UACGUAGGUGGCAAGCGUUGUCCGGAUUUACUGGGCGUAAAGAGCGCGCAGGCGGUCGUAUAAGUCGAAUGUGAAAGCCCCCGGCUCAACUGGGGAGGGUCAUUCGAUACUGUUCGACUCGAAGGCAGGAGAGGGAAGUGGAAUUCCGGGUGUAGUGGUGAAAUGCGCAGAUAUCGGGAGGAACACCAGUGGCGAAGGCGGAACUCUGGGCCGGAACUGACGCUGAGGAGCGAAAGCGUGGGGAGCGAACAGG
rnacentral:rRNA from 1 species